AUGAUUCCAUUCCUUCUGUCGGAUGUGCGGUUCUGUUCUGUUCCUUGUUUCCGGAAGUGGCGGCCGCCGCCGCAUCCCCCUCUCCCGGCCCCUGGGACCUGGCCCCCCCGAGAGGCGCCCGAGCUGCCUGUGGCCCGUGGCUGGCCGCUGGCACAGGUGCAGCCCCGUCUCACGGCACAGCGGCAGCACACCGUCCCCGCGGCGACCUGCACAGCAGCCCAGCAGAAGGAGAACAGGGCCCCCCAGCGCCCCCAGGCUCAGGCAGCCCCUGAGGACAGAGUCUGCGCCACUCAGAGGUCGUCCUCGCUCGCCAGCAGCCCCCUGCGGGACACCUGGAAGUUGCUGGACCUGGGUUCCAGUCCUUCCAGCCUCACCUCCCUGGAUGGCGCCACGGCAGGUUCUUCAAGAACCAGCAACACACUCGGUGGCUCAUACUUGAGAGUUAAUGGCGUAGACAUUACCGAGAGGAAGAAGUCCCCUAGAGAGACACGGGGUCCCAGACAGGCUGGCAGACCUGCGCCCAGAGGAGUCCGGCGAGAGGCAGGCGGCUGCCGCCGCCACACACGCUGGCUGACUUCUCCGGCCUCCCUGCUGUGCCGGGGACAGGAGCCGCCGCCUGCGCGUGCAACAGAGACUUCUCAGGCAAGACCACGGGGCUCGGGCGGCGAGGCUGUGACCGGCGGUCACAGUGCCAGCUGGGACACCUGCGUCCCACGGUGCGCUGCCCAGCUUCCUGCUGGUGGGCCUCGUGGGAGGCCCAGAUGGCGCUCCCGGCCCAGCCACUACAGGCCCUCGGGGAGCAGCCAGCGGGGGGAGGAAGAUCUCUCCCUGCCUCUCCGGUUUUCAGGGUGUGCUGGGGCAGAGCGCGAAGCGCGCCAGGGUGCCUGGUCCCUUAUCAGAUGCCAGCGUGAGUCCCACUCCCCUGCUUCGGAUCCAGCUCCUGCCCUCGCACCUGGGCGGCCGUGGAAGCUGGCCCCAUGCUGCCGCACCCACGGGGGAGACCUGGAAGGAGCUCCUGGCUUCCGGCUUUGGACCAGCCCAGCUCCAGCCGUUGUGGCCAGUGGGAGUGACCCAGCGGGUGGAGGACCUUCUGCCCCCUCCCCCACCAGAGCUCUGCCUUUCAAAUAA
rnacentral:lncRNA from 1 species